UACGUAGGGGGCAAGCGUUGUCCGGAUUUACUGGGCGUAAAGGGCGCGUAGGCGGCGGAUCAAGUCCGGGGUGAAAGCCCCCAGCUCAACUGGGGAAGUGCCUUGGAUACUGAUUCGCUCGAGGGAGGUAGGGGUCGCGGGAACUUCCGGUGGAGCGGUGAAAUGCGUUGAUAUCGGAAGGAACGCCGGUGGCGAAAGCGCGCGACUGGACCUCUUCUGACGCUGAGGCGCGAAAGCCAGGGGAGCGAACGGG
rnacentral:rRNA from 1 species